AGAUUCUCACUGCCGUAGCUGCCGUCUGCCUUUAGCCUUUUCCCGAACGCCUCUCCUAUGAUUGGUUUUCCCUACACGGCCCGGGUGUUAGUAUGCUGCGCUCUCUCCCAUGUCACUAGUUUCAUAAAUAGAUUUUCCUAACGUCAUGCCAGAUAAUUGUAAUUGGUUCCCGUCGCUUCUGUUGAAUUCCUGAUAGGCUAGGAAGUUUGUUCCUCGAGGUAAUAUUGUGGUGAGCCUAUCCUACCUGGUUGCUUGUCCUAACCUUAGCAGCACCUACAUUAUUACCUCGACAUUCCCCUCCCACGGAUUCUGCCCUCGUUGGCAGCAUUGAAGGAACGUAGCCAUGAUAUAGCAGCUACCUGUCCAUCGUCCAGAGAGAGAGUCAGCCAGCCCGUUAUGAUACACACCAGUUCCCAUUGAUCACCCAGCUACCCAACUGAUUUAGGGUAACGGACUUUACCAUGAGAUUGAACACUUACUUUAUGUACGAUUGGAUUGGUCUUGCAUUAUUUUACAAUUUGUA